rnacentral:rRNA from 1 species
GACGAACGCUGGCGGCGUGCUUAACACAUGCAAGUCGAACGGAAAGGCCCUGCUUUUGUGGGGUGCUCGAGUGGCGAACGGGUGAGUAACACGUGAGUAACCUGCCCUUGACUUUGGGAUAACUUCAGGAAACUGGGGCUAAUACCGGAUAGGAGCUCCUGCUGCAUGGUGGGGGUUGGAAAGUUUCGGCGGUUGGGGAUGGACUCGCGGCUUAUCAGCUUGUUGGUUGGGUAGUGGCUUACCAAGGCUUUGACGGGUAGCCGGCCUGAGAGGGUGACCGGCCAAAUUGGGACUGAGAUACGGCCCAGAAUCCUACGGGAGGCAGCAGUGGGGAAUAUUGCACAAUGGGAGGAAGCCUGAUGAAGAAACGCCGCGUGCGGGAUGACGGCCUUCGGGUUGUAAACCGAUUUCGCCUGUGACGAAGCGUGAGUGACGGUAAUGGGUAAAGAAGCACCGGCUAACUACGUG